UUGACAUCCGCGGAACCUCUAUGAAAGUAGGGGUGCCCUUCGGGAGCCGCGAGACAGGUGCUGCAUGGCUGUCGUCAGCCCGUGUCGUGAGAUGUUGGGUUAAGUCCCGCAACGAGCGCAACCCUUAUCUUCAGUUGCCAUCAUUAAGUUGGGCACUCUGAAGAAACUGCCGGUGUCAAACCGGAGGAAGGUGGGGAUGACGUCAAGUCCUCAUGGCCCUUAUGUCCAGGGCUACACACGUGCUACAAUGGCCGGUACAAAGAGUAGCGAUGCCGCGAGGUGGAGCCAAUCUCAAAAAGACCGGUCUCAGUUCGGAUUGCAGGCUGCAACUCGCCUGCAUGAAGUCGGAGUUGCUAGUAAUCGCGGAUCAGAAUGCCGCGGUGAAUGCGUUCCCGGGUCUU
rnacentral:rRNA from 1 species